CUAAAAUGUGACUUCAUGGUCCUGCUUCCUUCCAUGGCUGGGAUUUUACAGGCUCUCAUUUGAUAUCAGCUCCGGAGCACCCACUGCUUGUCCCACAUUCUCUGUUCACUGUGCACAGCCAGGCUGAAGGUAAAUCUGCACACUGAGGCUUUGCUGAGGGGCGGCUGGGGCUCAGGGGGAUGUGAGGUGUGUCUACUCCUGAAAACUGAAGUGAAUUACCACCCAGCUGGGCCAUUGUAUCCUUAGCUGUGAUCGGUUCCAGAGAUUUAAAACACAUGCGUG
rnacentral:lncRNA from 1 species